rnacentral:rRNA from 1 species
AUUGAACGCUGGCGGCAGGCCUAACACAUGCAAGUCGGGCGAGUGGCGGACGGGUGAGUAAUGUAUGGGGAACUGCCUGAUGGCGGGGGAUAACUACUGGAAACGGUAGCUAAUACCGCAUACCAUCAGAUGUACCCAUAUGGGAUUAGCUAGUUGGUAGGGUAACGGCUUACCUAGGCGACGAUCCCUAGCUGGUCUGAGAGGAUGACCAGCCACACUGGAACGGAGACACGGUCCAGACUCCUACGGGAGGCAGCAGUGGGGAAUAUUGCACAAUGGGCGCAAGCCUGAUGCAGCCAUGCCGCGUGUAUGAAGAAGGCCUUCGGGUUGUAAAGUACUUUCAGCGGGGAGGCGUUACCGGCAGAAGAAGCACCGGCUAACUCCGUGCCAGCAGCCGCGGUAAUAC